AGCGAACGCUGGCGGCAGGCUUAACACAUGCAAGUCGAGCGGGCAUCCUUGUGGUGUCAGCGGCGGACGGGUGAGUAACGCGCGGGAACGUGCCCUCUGGUUCGGAACAACCCUGGGAAACUAGGGCUAAUACCGGAUACGCCCUUUUUGGGGAAAGGCUUGCUGCCGGAGGAUCGGCCCGCGUCUGAUUAGCUCGUUGGUGGGGUAACGGCCUACCAAGGCGACGAUCAGUAGCUGGUCUGAGAGGAUGAUCAGCCACACUGGGACUGAGACACGGCCCAGACUCCUACGGGAGGCAGCAGUGGGGAAUAUUGGACAAUGGGCGCAAGCCUGAUCCAGCCAUGCCGCGUGAGUGAUGAAGGCCUUAGGGUUGUAAAGCUCUUUUAUCCGGGACGAUAAUGACGGUACCGGAGGAAUAAGCCCCGGCUAACUUCGUGCCAGCCGCCGCCGUAACAC
rnacentral:rRNA from 1 species